UACGUAGGGGGCAAGCGUUGUCCGGAUUUACUGGGCGUAAAGAGCGUGCAGGCGGUCGGGUAAGUCGGAUGUGAAAGCCCCCGGCUUAACUGGGGAGGGUCAUUCGAUACUGUUCGACUUGAAGGCAGGAGAGGGCAGCAGAAUUCCCGGUGUAGUGGUGAAAUGCGUAGAUAUCGGGAGGAAUACCAGUGGCGAAGGCGGCUGCCUGGCCUGUUCUUGACGCUGAGGCGCGAAAGCUGGGGGAGCAAACGGG
rnacentral:rRNA from 1 species